GUAUGUACUCAAGAGAGAAGCAUUUCAUAAAAAUGAGUAAGUAAGCAAGUGCAUACUCUCAUAUUUAUACCAUCUCAAACCAACCAGGUUCUCUCCAGCAUGCAUAUCUACGCCUUGUGCUCUGAUCUCAUCUGCCACAGCAUCCAGGAAAUAGUACCUUAAAAUAUUAUCCAUAUAACCUUCCAGGAUCAUUUGGCCCAAACAGCAGAACACCUUGCACAGCAGCCUGGACCUGUUACAGACAAUAACAACACAGAUUGUCUUACUGAGCUCACCUGAUUGUUUGAAGCCCAAAGAGGAAAAGGAAUGUGUUUGCUCCUUCUGAUCAGUCUACCAAAUCUCAACCUGAAAGUCAGAAGAAAUGGAUUCCAGUCCUGCCUCUCAGACCAUCUGUGUGACAUUGGAACCUGUCUUAGUAAUCACCUGCAAAACUACAAUUUUGGCAACAUGAGCUGGCAACCUAACAUAACGUUGCUGUAUCUUGGAUUAUGGAAGUGUCUUUCCACAUGUCCAAACCUGCCACAUUCUCUUCCUACCUUCCUCCGUGCUUCAUCAACAAUGCCUGCUUCUUUCAACUACCUGGAUCUUCAUGUGCACCACUUAAAUACAGCAGCCAGGAGCCAGUGUGGCCACUGAGCAUGAAAAAUGAAGCCAGUCUGAAGCAGUCUGAAGGCAACCUCCAGCAGGAACAAGCAGAUGCAAAUUUCAGAAUGUUAAGUGGCCCUGAAUGAAUAAGAACUUGGGCUAAGAAGCCAAAGCUAUUCCUAUACUUGCCACACUCUGGAAUGAUCCAUCUUUCAAAUUAUUAAGUAAAAGGUAGAGUGACUCACCAACUACCAGGCAGUGAGGGUAAAUCAGCCUUGUCAUAAUUUUACAGACUUCUCCUUCCACUCAUGAAAACAAGUUAUGUAUGGUAUUUACGUACAUCUGUGUUGCUGGGCAUUUUCCAAAUGCCUCUUGGAGAACAUUAAACAGGAAAUUGAUGCCACAGGGCAAAUAUUCAUUCUUCCCAUCCUCUCUCACAAAAACAAGUACAGAUUUGCUGUGUCUAGACUGACUUCCCACAGUGUGCUGUUGCUUAUUCAGUUUUACACUAGAAGGAAAAAAAAAUUCUCUGUUUCAAUUUUAAGAAUGUUGGAAAUGGCUAAAAUGCAUAAACAAAAAAGCUUCUCUCAUGAGAGCACUGAAGUAUAGAAUUCAGUGCUUUAUAAAAAUCACAAAAUUCAAAGGUUAAUGAUUGUUCUUCAUGCCUACUGAUGAAAGUCAAUUUGUAUCACAUUAGACACAUCAAAUUUGGUUUAAACAGCAUGUGUUCUAAUUUUCAAAUGGAAAAGCUUUAAGCAGCUGGUCACUGCAGCUUUUCACAUAGGGAUGGUAUCUCUUUCCAACCUGUUACAGUGGUCUUUGGUUAGUGUCCUCCUCAGGUCCAUUUCUCCCUAUUUACUUCCUUAGCAGCCCAGAAAAUAUCUGGAGAUUCAUUAGGCUCUGGAAAAACUUAAUCUUCCAGUCCCAGGAAUAGAGAAUGUGAGUCAGGUUAAACUAUUCAAUGCAUUCUCUCCCCCAGCCACAGAGAUUUAUUCAAAGAGGGCAUGUGAUCUAAGCUCAUCCAAUCAAAGUGAAUCUUGAGGCAUUUUCUGGGGAAAAAAGUCAUUCUGUUUUUCCUGGUAGACAAGAACACUGAAGUAAUUGGCAGUCAUAUUAGGGUCAUAACGGGGAUCAGCCUUGAAAUAAAGCAAAUACUGUGGAGGGCAGAAUAGAGAAACUGAAUUAAACUAGGCCCCAGAUGUCACCAUUUUACUGCUGGAUCAAGCUUGGCUUAAAGUUCUGUCUCUACACCAUUUAACAA
ensembl:lncRNA